rnacentral:rRNA from 1 species
UACAGAGGGGCAAGCGUUAUUCGGAAUUAUUGGGCGUAAAGGGCGCGUAGGCGGCAUGGCAAGUGGAUGGUGAAAUCCCUCGGCUUAACCGAGGAACUGCCGUCCAAACUGCUUCGCUUGAGACCGGGAGAGGUGAGUGGAAUUCCCAGUGUAGCGGUGAAAUGCGUAGAUAUUGGGAGGAACACCAGUGGCGAAGGCGGCUCACUGGACCGGUACUGACGCUGAAGCGCGAAAG